rnacentral:rRNA from 1 species
CGAGUCGGCCUGCGCGGAAGAUGUAACGGGGCUAAACCAUGCACCGAAGCUGCGGCAGCGACGCUGAUGCGUUGUUGGGUAGGGGAGCGUUCUGUAAGCCUGCGAAGGUGUGCUGUGAGGCAUGCUGGAGGUAUCAGAAGUGCGAAUGCUGACAUAAGUAACGAUAAAGCGGGUGAAAAGCCCGCUCGCCGGAAGACCAAGGGUUCCUGUCCAACGUUAAUCGGGGCAGGGUGAGUCGACCCCUAAGGCGAGGCCGAAAGGCGUAGUCGAUGGGAAACAGGUUAAUAUUCCUGUACUUGGUGUUACUGCGAAGGGGGGACGGAGAAGGCUAUGUUGGCCGGGCGACGGUUGUCCCGGUUUAAGCGUGUAGGCUGGUUUUCCAGGCAAAUCCGGAAAAUCAAGGCUGAGGCGUGAUGACGAGGCACUACGGUGCUGAAGCAACAAAUGCCCUGCUUCCAGGAAAAGCCUCUAAGCAUCAGGUAACAUCAAAUCGUACCCCAAACCGACACAGGUGGUCAGGUAGAGAAUACCAAGGCGCUUGAGAGAACUCGGGUGAAGGAACUAGGCAAAAUGGUGCCGUAACUUCGGGAGAAGGCACGCUGAUAUGUAGGUGAAGUCCCUCGCGGAUGGAGCUGAAAUCAGUCGAAGAUACCAGCUGGCUGCAACUGUUUAUUAAAAACACAGCACUGUGCAAACACGAAAGUGGACGUAUACGGUGUGACGCCUGCCCGGUGC